rnacentral:rRNA from 1 species
GACGAAGGGGGCUAGCGUUGUUCGGAAUUACUGGGCGUAAAGCGCGUGUAGGCGGUUGCCCAAGUCGGGUGUGAAAGCCUUGAGCUCAACUCAAGAAAUGCACUCGGUACUGGGUGACUAGAGGACCGGAGAGGAUAGUGGAAUUCCCAGUGUAGUGGUGAAAUACGUAGAGAUUGGGAAGAACACCAGUGGCGAAGGCGGCUAUCGUGGACGACAACUGACGCUGAGACGCGAAAGCGUGGGGAGCAAACAGG